rnacentral:misc_RNA from 1 species
GAUGAAGAACGUAGCGAAAUGCGAUAAGUAGUGUGAAUUGCAGAAUUCAGUGAAUCAUCGAAUCUUUGAACGCACAUUGCGCCCCUUGGUAUUCCAUGGGGCAUGCCUGUUCGAGCGUCAUUUGUACCUUCAAGCUUUGCUUGGUGUUGGGUGUUUGUCCAUUCUCUUGCAGAGGGACUCGCCUUAAAGUAAUUGGCAGCCAGUGUUUUGGUUUUGAAGCGCAGCACAAGUCGCGAUUCAAAGCUAUACGCCCGCUUCCACAAGCCUUUUUCACUUUUGACCUCGGAUCAGGUAGGGAUACCCGCUGAACUUAAGCAUAUCAAAAGCGGAGGA